AAUAUUGUUCAAUGAGGCAACUCUGAACCAGCCAGCCCGCGUGUAUGAUGAAGGCCUUCGGGUUGUAAAGUACUUUUGGCAGAGAAGAAAAGGUACCUCCUAAUACGAGGUACGGCUGACGGUAUCUGCAGAAUAAGCACCGGCUAACUACGUGCCAGCAGCCGCGGUAAUACGUAGGGUGCAAGCGUUAAUCGUAAUUACUGGGCGUAAAGCGUGUGUAGGCGGUUCGGAAAGAAAGAUGUGAACUCCCAGGGCUCAACCUUGGAACUGCAUUUUUAACUGCCGAGCUAGAGUAUGUCAGAGGGGGGUAGAAUUCCACGUGUAGCAGUGAAAUGCGUAGAUAUGUGGAGGAAUACCGAUGGCGAAGGCAGCCCCCUGGGAUAAUACUGACGCUCAGACACGAAGGCGUGGGGAGCAAACAG
rnacentral:rRNA from 1 species